UACGUAUGGUGCAAGCGUUAUCCGGAUUUACUGGGUGUAAAGGGAGCGCAGGCGGCACGGCAAGCCUGAUGUGAAAGCCCGCGGCCCAACCGCGGGACUGCCCUUGGAACUGCAUGGCUGGAGUGCGGGAGGGGCAGGCGGAAUUCCUGGUGUAGCGGUGAAAUGCGUAGAUAUCAGGAGGAACACCGGCGGCGAAGGCGGCCUGCUGGACCGCGACUGACGUUGAGGCUCGAAAGCGUGGGGAGCGAACAGG
rnacentral:rRNA from 1 species